rnacentral:rRNA from 1 species
ACGGGGGGAGCAAGCGUUGUUCGGAUUUACUGGGCGUAAAGGGCGGGUAGGCGGCCACUGCAAGUCGGUUGUGAAAUCUCCGGGCUUAACUCGGAAAGGUCAAUCGAUACUGCAGGGCUAGAGUGCAGAAGGGGCAACUGGAAUUCUCGGUGUAGCGGUGAAAUGCGUAGAUAUCGAGAGGAACACCUGCGGCGAAGGCGGGUUGCUGGACACAUAUUGACGCUGAGGUGCGAAAGCGUGGGGAGCAAACAGGA